rnacentral:rRNA from 1 species
UACGUAGGGGGCAAGCGUUGUCCGGAUUUAUUGGGCGUAAAGAGCUCGUAGGUGGUUCGGUAAGUCGGAUGUGAAAUCUCCAGGCUCAACCUGGAGGGGUCAUUCGAUACUGCCGUGACUAGAGGUCGGUAGGGGAGUGUGGAAUUCCUGGUGGAGCGGUGAAAUGCGCAGAUAUCAGGAGGAACACCGAUGGCGAAGGCAGGUCUCUGGGCAUUAACUGACGCUGAGGAGCGAAAGCGUGGGGAGCGAACAGG